UUUCUUUGUUUCUUUCUUUCUUUCUUUUUGGCUUAAAUAUUGUCACCUGAGCUAGGCUCUGUUGCCCUGCUUCCUCCGUUUCAGAGGGUACCUUUUUUCAGGGUUGCUUUUUCACCGGGUCUCCUCGCCAUUGUAGUUUUUUAUUUUAUUUAUUUAUUUUUUUGCUUAACGAUUGCCACCUGAGCUAGCCUGUGUUGCCCAUGUUCGUCAGUUUCAGAGGGUAGAUUUCUCAGCGUUGCUUUUUCCCCAGGUCUCUACGCGCUUGUGUGUGUGUGUGUGUGUGUGUGUGUGUUCUGCUUAAAGAUUGCCACCCGAGCUAGCCCCUGUUGCCCAUCUUCGUCAGUUUCAGAGGGUAGAUUUCUCAGUGUUGAUUUUCCCCCAGUUCUCCACGCCCUCGUGCUUUUUUUUUUUUUUUAAUUUCCUUAAAUGUCGGCACCUCAGCUAGCCUCUUUUUCCCAUCUUCGUCCGUUUCAGCGGGUAGACUCUCCGCCUGCCUUCGACAGACCCUCUGCGCUUGAAAGCUUUCCUCCUCCCGUCAUCACGGUCCUUCUCGGAUGACGUGCCUGGUUUCGGUUUGACCGUCCCCGCCCGCCCUGAUUUUCUAAGUCCUCCCGGGAGCCCCGGGGGCGCUCCGGCCGCUCCGGGAAGCGGCGGCCUCCCGGCCGCACCGGCUCAGCCCGGCCCGGGCCGACCCCUGGCCUCUCUGGGGGAACUCUCCCCGUCCCCUUCCCGCUCCGGCGACGCGGGCCAAGGGACGGGACUCGGCCGCGGUGACCGAGGCAGAGUCCCGGGAGGCCGGCGUCGCUGGCGGGAUCUGGCCCGGUGGCGCCGGGGCGUGAGCGCGACGCCCGCUCGCCGGAGAUUGGAGGUGCAGGCUACUGAGGGAGGUGGCUGUCGCCGCGCCGCCCGGUGCCGGCCGGGGUGUGGGGCCUCCCGGACGGGUCGACCAGCAGCCGCCGGUGCCCCUCCGUCCCCGGGAGGGGUGGGGGGCGCCGCGGGGGAACGGGCGAGGGAACUCGUCCCGUGCCCGGCCGUCGUCCUGAGGGCGGCCCGGUGGUCGGGCCUUCCGCGUCGCCGAUCCCCUUUCCGCGCCCCGCUCCGGAGGUGGGGGACCGGCCGGGGCCUUGCGGGGGAGGCCCGUGGAGGGCGCGACGGGCUCGGCCGCCGGGCUGGCCUUUUCCCCCCUGGUCUUCCGAGUCGACCGGCUCUGGCGGUGGGGACCGGGCCCGGUCCUCGGAUGCCUCCUCCUCCGUGGCAGUUUUUUGUCCAAGUCCCGCCCUGGAGAAGAGCGUGGACCGGCCCCGGGAGCCCUCGAGGGCGGGCCGGGGAGGGCGUCCCCGGCCGGGACGCGUGCCCGGGGUGGGUCCGGGCCGUCGGACCGGACUUCUCUCUCCGAGUUUCGCGGGUCGCGUCUUUGUCCGGAGGUGGGAGGGGGCCGGCUCGAGGCGUAGGUGGAGCCCCGGCUGAGGGACGGGAGCCACGGUCCCGCCCCGGGCCCGGUCGCCGGAGGCUCCUCCGUGGAAUUCUUUUCUAAGUCCUGACCCGGCGACUCAGAGGGAGGGACCGACCGGUCCCGGCCCGCGCGGGCGGCCCGGGGAGGCUGUCCCCGGCUCCCCCUGCCGCCACGCUUCUGGGGUCGACCAGAUGGCCCCGGGAGCUCCGGGCCUGGUGGCGAUGGGGUCGUGCUUGGGGUCUGGUGGCCGUGGCCGUGAUCCAGGGGUUCCCCUCGUGAUCCGUGGGUGGGCCCCGUCUCCGGGCGCGGCGAUUCUUGCCCCUGAAUGGGUGGUUUUGUGCCGCCAGAUAAGUGCUGACACGCUCUGCUCGGGUGACAGUCGCCCGAGAGCUUCCGGGUGCCUGGAUGCGUGUGCGGGGAGGUCUCCGGGCUCUGGCCGAGAAUCGGACGCCCGUUUCCACCCCCGCCGCUUGAGCCGCCCGCUGGGGCCUGCGCGCCGGCUCUUGUGCGUUCCAGGCGUCCCCGCGACCGUGGUGCCACCUCCGGUCUCUGGUACCCGAGGGCGGCGGGGUUAGGGGCGCGGGGUCCUCUACCACGUGCACUCCCUGCCGCCGGCACCCGGGUGCGGUCGCGACUUACCCCGUCCCGCCGGCUCCGUGCCAGUGCGUGUCAGGCGUUCUCGUCCUGGGGUCGUCGCCCGCGCUUGCUAGAGGAGGAGGGGGGCCGGUGAGGCUGAAGCAGGCUCCUCCGCUGGCUGUCCUCGCCGGCCUUCCCUUGCUCGGGGAUCCCUCGCGUUAUGCUGCUGAUCGAUGUGGUGAUGCUGUGCUCUCCGGGCCGGCCUAAGCCGUGCCAGACGAGGGACGGACGUUCAUGGCAGAACGGGACCGCUCUUCUC
rnacentral:lncRNA from 1 species